rnacentral:rRNA from 1 species
GUUAAAAAGCUCGUAGUUGGAUUUCUGGGAGGGUGCCAUGUCCGCCGACGUGCGUGCGCAGCGGCGCCCUCUCAUCCUUCUGUUAACGUCUCUCGGCAUUCAUUUGCCGGUGGCGGGCUCAGAUAUUUUACCUUGAGAAAAUUAGAGUGUUUCAGGCAGGCUAGGCCGGAAUACAUUAGCAUGGAAUAAUGGAAUAGGACUUCGGUCUCUUUGUUGGUUUGAGGGACUGCAGUAAUGAUCAAUAGGGAUAGUUGGGGGCAUUAGUAUUUAAUUGUCAGAGGUGGAAUUCUCGGAUUUGUUAAAGACUAACUUAUGCGAAAGCAUUUGCCAAGGAUGUUUUCAUUAAUCCAAGAACGAAAGUUAGGGGAUCAAAGA